UUGAUACACCGUUUUAUAAUAUUAAUUUAUAACGUAUAUAUACGUACGUACAUACAUUUCCAUAUACGCGCGCAGCGCGCACACGGUUGGGAGGGGAAGUAACAAUUCGCGAACGUAACGUGAUCCAUUUCUAUUUGGCUUUGGAAAUAAAUCAAAGAUAGAUUAGAGAUACGAUUAAAUCCGUCCCUGGAUACAUUGGUAAAUUAAGAUUAUAAGCUGAUGCUAGCUUUUUAGGUACAAAUCUGCCUCCUAGAUAAUGAAACUUUCCUUUGAAUUUUAAUGCGCACAUCUUUGGCGCUGUUAAGGAUAUCAACAUUUCUGGACAUAUAUCAUCUUUUACAGAUGGACCAUUUUCGACAUCCCACCCUGAAGGUAUGUCUAUGCUACAUAUAGGAAUAGAUGCGGUUUUCAAUAUCCUCAUAAUAGGAACAAAAGUAUCCCUUACAGGAGGUUUAAAACUAAAUCCAAACACAGCAUCCACUAUGACUCUGAAUCCACUUAAAAGUUCAACGACAUCUUUAUCUUUUAUAAAUCCACUUUCCAAAAUAGUUAUAUCAUUUUCUUUACAUUGAUGCAAAAGAUUUUUAUACAAUUGAUUGUCGGUUUCUUUUGGAUAAUAAAUCUCGGGAGAAUAACCAAAA